UACGAAGGGGGCUAGCGUUGCUCGGAAUCACUGGGCGUAAAGGGUGCGUAGGUGGGUCUUUAAGUCAGGGGUGAAAUCCUGGAGCUCAACUCCAGAACUGCCUUUGAUACUGAGGAUCUUGAGUUCGGGAGAGGUGAGUGGAACUGCGAGUGUAGAGGUGAAAUUCGUAGAUAUUCGCAAGAACACCAGUGGCGAAGGCGGCUCACUGGCCCGAUACUGACGCUGAGGCACGAAAGCGUGGGGAGCAAACAGG
rnacentral:rRNA from 1 species